UUGUAAGGUGGCUGAGUGGUCAAAAGCGGCAGACUGUAAAUCUGCUCCGGUAACGGUUCACAGGUUCAAAUCCUAUCCUUACCAA
rnacentral:tRNA from 1 species